rnacentral:rRNA from 1 species
GAUGAACGCUGGCGGCGUGCUUAACACAUGCAAGUCGAACGGAAAGGCCUCUGCUUGCAGGGGUACUCGAGUGGCGAACGGGUGAGUAACACGUGGGUGAUCUGCCCUGCACUUCGGGAUAAGCCAGGGAAACUGGGUCUAAUACCGGAUAGGACAAUGGUUUGGAUGCUGUUGUGGAAAGUUUUUCGGUGUGGGAUGAGCUCGCGGCCUAUCAGCUUGUUGGUGGGGUAAUGGCCUACCAAGACGUAGACGGGUAGCCGGCCUGAGAGGGUGUACGGCCACAUUGGGACUGGGAUACGGCCCAGACUCCUACGGGAGGCAGCAGUGGGGAAUAUUGCACAAUGGGCGCAAGCCUGAUGCAUCGACGCCGCGUGGGGGAUGACGGCCUUCGGGUUGUAAGCUCCUUUGGCUAGGGACGAAGCGUUUUUGUGACGGUACCUGGAGAAGAAGCACCGGCUAACUACGUG